UGUAGACAGCUCCGUGCACAGCUCCAUCCCCCGCACACAGCUCUAUCCCUCCCCCUCCCCCUGUCUCCACAGGACCUAAUCCACCACGGGGAGGUUGCUUGUUUGCACGGGGAAAACACAGAGCAGGGGGGGAGGGGGAGGACGGAAAUCUGACCUCACACCGGCCGGGACUACAGCUCUGAUGUCCACUCAUGGCGGCUCAGAGGAUCAGAAUGCAUUGGCAUAGUGAGGAGACGUCUGGGCAUCAAGUUUUGCAGAGAGAAGAUUUAGCUGGAACAAAUCCUGGCGUGAGGGGCCGGUGCUGGACACUGUGUAGGGACGCGGGAAUGCAAAGUCAUACACAUGACUGUGACUGAUGCACUAUCUCCAGGACAUGGAGUAGCAUUUCCGGACCUACAGCAAGACGUUGGAUGAAGGCAUAGCCCCAGAAAUAACACUGGUCCUGUUCAUCAGUGAGGGGCCGGUGCUGGACACUGUGUAGGGACACGGGAAUGCAAAGUCAUGCACAUGACUGUGACUGAUGCACUAUUUCCAGGACAUGGAGUAGCAUUUCGGGACCUACAGCAAGACGUUGGAUGAAGGCACAGGCCUAGGAAUCAUGCACAUACACAGAAACAUUUGCCCAAAUUAUAGAGGUAACCUCCUUUAGUAUGCCCAGAGGAAGGGCCAUACAGUAGC